rnacentral:rRNA from 1 species
GACGAACGCUGGCGGCGUGCUUUACACAUGCAAGUCGAGCGAUGAAGUUUCUUCGGAAAUGGAUUAGCGGCGAACGGGUGAGGAACACGUGAAGAAUCUGCCCUCCACUUUGGGAUAACACCGGGAAACCGGUGCUAAUACCGAAUAUUGAAACAUAAGUGGCAUCACUGAGUUUUGAAAGAAUUUCGGUGGAGGAUGACUUCGCGGCCUAUCAGCUAGUUGGUGAGGUAAUGGCUCACCAAGGCAACGACGGGUAGCCGGCCUGAGAGGGCGACCGGCCACACUGGGACUGAGACACGGCCCAGACUCCUACGGGAGGCAGCAGUGGGGAAUAUUGGGCAAUGGAGGAAACUCUGACCCAGCGACGCCGCGUGCGGGAUGAAGGCCUUCGGGUUGUAAACCGCUUUCAGUAGGGAAGAAGCGAAAGUGACGGUACCUACAAAAGAAGCACCGGCUAACUAUGUGCCAGCAGCCGCGGUAAUACAUAGGGUGCAAGCGUUGUCCGGAAUUAUUGGGCGUAAAGAGCUCGUAGGUCGUUUGUUACGUCGGAUGUGAAAACCUGAGGCUCAACCUCAGGCCUGCAUUCGAUACGGGCAAACUAGAGUUUGGUAGGGGAGACUGGAAUUCCUGGUGUAGCGGUGGAAUGCGCAGAUAUCAGGAGGAACACCAAUGGCGAAGGCAGGUCUCUGGGCCAAUACUGACACUGAGGAGCGAAAGUCUGGGGAGCAAACAGGAUUAGAUACCCUGGUAGUCCAGACCGUAAACGGUGGGCACUAGUUGUGGGAACCUUCCACGGUUUCUGCGACGCAGCUAACGCAUUAAGUGCCCCGCCUGGGGAGUACGAUCGCAAGAUUA